rnacentral:rRNA from 1 species
UAUGGCUCAGAUUGAACGCUGGCGGCAGGCCUAACACAUGCAAGUCGAGCGGAAACGAGUUAACUGAACCUUCGGGGAACGUUAACGGCGUCGAGCGGCGGACGGGUGAGUAAUGCCUGGGAAAUUGCCCUGAUGUGGGGGAUAACCAUUGGAAACGAUGGCUAAUACCGCAUAAUGCCUUCGGGCCAAAGAGGGGGACCUUCGGGCCUCUCGCGUCAGGAUAUGCCCAGGUGGGAUUAGCUAUUUGGUGAGGUAAUGGCUCACCAAGGCGACGAUCCCUAGCUGGUCUGAGAGGAUGAUCAGCCACACUGGAACUGAGACACGGUCCAGACUCCUACGGGAGGCAGCAGUGGGGAAUAUUGCACAAUGGGCGCAAGCCUGAUGCAGCCAUGCCGCGUGUAUGAAGAAGGCCUUCGGGUUGUAAAGUACUUUCAGUCGUGAGGAAGGUGGUGCAGUUAAUAGCUGUAUUACUUGACGUUAGCGACAGAAGAAGCACCGGCUAACUCCGUGC